rnacentral:pre_miRNA from 1 species
AUGCACAUCACCAGGGGAUCUUGUGAAAAUGCAGAUUCUGAUUCAAUGAGACUUGAGUGGGGCCUGAGAUUCUGCGUUUCUAACAAGCUCCCAGGUGAUGCCAUG